rnacentral:rRNA from 1 species
AGAACGAACGCUGGCGGCAUGCCUAACACAUGCAAGUCGAACGAGACCUUCGGGUCUAGUGGCGCACGGGUGCGUAACGCGUGGGAAUCUGCCCUUGGGUUCGGGAUAACAGUUGGAAACGACUGCUAAUACCGGAUGAUGUCUUCGGACCAAAGAUUUAUCGCCCAAGGAUGAGCCCGCGUAGGAUUAGCUUGUUGGUGAGGUAAGAGCUCACCAAGGCGACGAUCCUUAGCUGGUCUGAGAGGAUGAUCAGCCACACUGGGACUGAGACACGGCCCAGACUCCUACGGGAGCAGCAGUGGGAAUAGUUGGACAAUGGGCGAAAGCCUGAUCCAGCAAUGCCGCGUGAGUGAUGAAGGCCUUAGGUGUAAGUCUCUUUACCGGAUGAUAAUGACAGUACCGGAGAA